AGAAGAGUGUUACUUCGGUAGAGAUUAGUCUGAAACACUAAACAAGUGGGUUCAAAUCCCACCUCUUCCA
rnacentral:tRNA from 1 species